rnacentral:misc_RNA from 1 species
GAUGAAGAACGUAGUGAAAUGCGAUACGUAAUGUGAAUUGCAAAUUCAGUGAAUCAUCGAAUCUUUGAACGCACAUUGCGCCCCCUGGUAUUCCGGGGGGCAUGCCUGUCCGAGCGUCAUUGCUGCCCUCAAGCACGGCUUGUGUGUUGGGCCCCGUCCUCCGAUUCCGGGGGACGGGCCCGAAAGGCAGCGGCGGCACCGCGUCCGGUCCUCGAGCGUAUGGGGCUUUGUCACCCGCUCUGUAGGCCCGGCCGGCGCUUGCCGAUCAACCCAAAUUUUUAUCCAGGUUGACCUCGGAUCAGGUAGGGAUACCCGCUGAACUUAAGCAUAUCAAUAAGCGGAGGA